GACGAACGCUGGCGGCGUGCUUAACACAUGCAAGUCGAACGGAAAGGCCCCUUUGGGGGUACUCGAGUGGCGAACGGGUGAGUAACACGUGAGUAAGCUGCCCUUGACUUCGGGAUAACUUCAGGAAACUGGGGCUAAUACCGGAUAGGAAUCCUUGCUGCAUGGUGGGGGUUGGAAAGCUUCGGGGGUUUUGGAUGGACUCGCGGCUUAUCAGCUUGUUGGUGGGGUAGUGGCUUACCAAGGCUUUGACGGGUAGCCGGCCUGAGAGGGCGACCGGCCACGUUGGGACUGGGAUACGGCCCAGACUCCUACGGGAGGCAGCAGUGGGGAAUAUUGCACAAUGGGCGGAAGCCUGAUGCAGCAACGCCGCGUGCGGGAUGACGGCCUUCGGGUUGUAAACCGCGUUCAGCAGGGGCGAAGCUUGUGGUGACGGUACCUGCAGAAGAAGCACCGGCUAACUACGUG
rnacentral:rRNA from 1 species